UGGACUAUAACUGNCGCUGAGGCACGAAAGCGUGGGUAGCAAACAGGAUUAGAUACCCUGGUAGUCCACGCCGUAAACGAUGAACACUAGGUGUCGGGAGGAAUUUCGGUGCCGGCGCAAACGCAAUAAGUGUUCCGCCUGGGGAGUACGUUCGCAAGAAUAAAACUCAAAGGAAUUGACGGGGACCCGCACAAGUAGCGGAGCAUGUGGUUUAAUUNGAAGCAACGCGAAGAACCUUACCUAAGCUUGACAUGGGGAUGAAAAGCAAUGUAAAGUUGUAAUGAUACCCUCGGGUAUACAUCCCACACAGGUGGUGCAUGGUUGUCGUCAGCUCGUGUCGUGAGAUGUUGGGUUAAGUCCCGCAACGAGCGCAACCCCUAUUGAUAGUUGCCAGUACGUUAUGGUAGGCACUCUAUUAAGACAGUUAUGGAUAACAUAAAGGAAGGUGGGGAUGACGUCAAAUCAUCAUGCCCCUUAUGCUUAGGGCUACACACGUGCUACAAUGGCUGUAACAAAGAGAAGCAAGGUCGUAAGGCGGAGCAAACCUGAAAAAAGCAGUCCAAGUUCGGAUUGUGGGCUGAAACUCGCCCACAUGAAGUCGGAGUUACUAGUAAUCGCGAAUCAGAAUGUCGCGGUGAAUGCGUUCCCGGGUCUUGUACACACCGCCCGUCACACCAUGGGAGCUGAGGGUACCC
rnacentral:rRNA from 1 species